rnacentral:ncRNA from 1 species
AUGUAAGUAUUUGCUUUUUAAUUUUAAAUAAGAUUUGUUAGCAGUAAUUAAUUUUAAGAAUUUAGGCAACUAAGACUUAGGAAUAGACAAUAACUCUAACUUAAUUUGUGCCAGCAGUUGCGGUUAGACAAAUAGAGUUUGUGAAAGUUUUUGGUCAACAGUUAAUAGAUUUAUUUAAUUGGAAUGAUUUUUAAAUUUUUAGGUGAAAUUUUAAUUUAAUUUUCUUUCUUCUUUAUGAAGCUGUUAAACUUAAUUUAUAAACUAGGAUUAGAUACCCUAUUAUUUUAAGCGUAAACACAUAUUACCCGGUUAGUAUUAGGUAUAUUCUUGAAAACAAAAGAAUUUGGCGGUAUUUUAGUCUUUUCAGAGGAACCUGCCCUGUAAUUGAUAGUCCACGAUGAAUAUCUACUUACAAUCUGGUUUGUAUAUCGUUGUGGUCGAUUUUUUUAUAAGAAAUUUUAAUGGUCAAGAUUCUUUACUAAGAAAGAAGUCAAAUCAAGAUGCAGCAUGUGUAAGAAGAGGUGGGUUACAAUAAAUUUAUUUAAAUGGUUAAAGUUUUCAAAAUACUUUAUAAAGUGGAUUUGAAAGUAAUUUUAAAUUAUCUUUUUAUUAUGAGUUAGCUCUAAAAUAUGCACAUAUCGCCCGUCGCUUCCAUAAAAAUGGAAUAAGUCGUAACAAAGUAGGCGUACUGGAAAGUGUGCCUAGAA